AUUAAGCUUACAGCAUCUCUCAUAUUGACUGUUGGUUCUCCAGCUAUUGGACUUAUGGGGCUUUCUGGAAGGUGCCUUGUUUUGACUGUUGGUUUACAGGGAGUUUCUUCUGUUGACUUCAUGUUUUCCUGAUUUGCUUUGAACAUUGUACUUCCAGGACAUGGUUUUCUGUGCCCUUGGUAACCAUGUGCCCUUGCAGACAUUGACAUGGAUGAGAGAUAAUAUAGUUCGCUAUCUGGAAGACUGGGACUGGCGUUGUUGCCUAACUAGCCAAGCAGGCUUAUCCUAUCCCCUGACUGUUUGAUGCAUCAUUUAGCUUUUUAUAGGCAGCUUCAUUUCCCCAAAGCAAAAGUUGAAACAAAGGUUUCUUGGUCCACUGCAGGUCCUAACCGACGAUUUAGGUCCAACAUGAUGUUGAAUAUGUUUGAAGAUCUUCUAAACCCUGCACCUUUCCAAUUCAUCAUAAUUUUUUCAACAUAUAAUUUAUCUUACAGAGACAAAAUUUAAACAUUCAGAUUAAUUUGGUGGAUGUACAAGGUUCGAAGGUUGCUCUGGAGCAUCAAUCUAGACGGGGCAUCCUACAACUGAAAAAACCCAGUGC
rnacentral:lncRNA from 1 species